GAAUGCUCAUAAAGACCACCCCGCGCCAGCACUUCGCGCGCGGCUCUCUGUCAUUGAUGGGGGGACUCAGUGAAAAGACAAAUACAACUUGAGGCAAAUUGGAAAAGAAGAAUGAAGCGCACUAGAGCAGUGAUAUAACAAGUGUCGUAUUUGUUGCUCCUACCGCUACCGUAUCCUUCUCUCUUUCGGCAAUUGCGACUACUAUACGAGCCGCCGGUUUCAAGUGAAUUUUGAGAGGGAAAUAAAGAGUGAGAAACGAUAAGAAAGAGAGCGGACAAUUGAUUGUUCGUCGAGUUGGCAAAUAUCAUGUGAU
ensembl:ncRNA W05E10.19 ncRNA